rnacentral:rRNA from 1 species
AUUGAACGCUGGCGGCAGGCUUAACACAUGCAAGUCGAGCGGAGAUGAGGUGCUUGCACCUUAUCUUAGCGGCGGACGGGUGAGUAAUGCUUAGGAAUCUGCCUAUUAGUGGGGGACAACAUUCCGAAAGGAAUGCUAAUAACGCAUACGCACUACGGGGGAAAGCAGGGGAUCUUCGGACCUUGCGCUAAUAGAUGAGCCUAAGUCGGCUUAGCUAGUUGGUGGGGUAAAUGCCUACCAAGGCGACGAUCUGUAGGGAGUCUGAGAGGAUGAUCCGCCACGCGGGGAUUGAAACACGGCCCAGAAUCAUACGGGAGGAAGCAGUGGGUAGUAUUGGACAAUGGGCUGAGGCUUGAUCCAGCCAUGCCGCGUGUGUGAGGAAGGCCUUUUGGUUGUAAAGCUCUUUAAGCGAGGAGGAGGCUACCUGGAUUAAUACUCUAGGAUAGUGGACGUUACUCGCAGAAUAAGCACCGGCUAACUCUGUGCCAGCCGCCGCAGUAAAAC